rnacentral:rRNA from 1 species
UACGGAGGGUGCAAGCGUUAUCCGGAUUCACUGGGUUUAAAGGGUGCGUAGGUGGGGAUGUAAGUCAGUGGUGAAAUCUCCGUGCUUAACAUGGAAACUGCCAUUGAUACUAUGUUUCUUGAAUUUUCUGGAGGUAAGCGGAAUAUGUCAUGUAGCGGUGAAAUGCUUAGAUAUGACAUAGAACACCAAUUGCGAAGGCAGCUUGCUACAGGGAUAUUGACACUGAGGCACGAAAGCGUGGGGAUCAAACAGG